rnacentral:lncRNA from 1 species
AAAAGGACAACCAGCAGAAUGCAUAAGUAUAUAAAAUAACCUUUUAACAGAGGAUAAGUAUGACUUGGGGAAAUGACUAAUAAUGAGCUAUUUAUGUUAAAGCUACCCAUUCCUAUGAAUAAUUUCAUGAACUUUUUCAAGGUAAUUUUUGCCUUGUUUUUCAAUUUUUUUAGAAAUUCACAUGGUAUAAUGAGCCCUGACAAAAAAGAACAAAACAACACAUAUUUUAUUCUUUUUUUCCAUUUAUGUAUAAAAAAAAAGAAUACACAUUAUGCAUACAAAAUAUUAGGUCAAUGUCAGAAAAAUAUCAACAUUUUUUUAGGAUUUGAAACUGGGGAAGGGUGAGGUUUAUUGGGCCCUUCAAUUGUUCCAUGGUGAAUACAAAAAACUUUAAGGGUAGAGGGCAUAGGCCCUCUACCACCCUACUGGAUCUGCCACUUGGAAAGUGAUCUAGUUGCAGUAUAAAUAUAUGCAUGUAAGUUAUUUUUCAGUUGAGAAUUUUCUAGUAAAUGGGAGAUAAUCCAAUUUGAAUCCUUUUCCAUUGUCCUUACAAAUGCAUUAUUUCAAACCAAAUAAAACUUUCCCACAGAUUCAUCUCCUUUUUAUAUUUAAAUAAUUUAAUUUUGGAUGUACCGUGUCUUCUG